CCCUUAGAUGUCCUGGGCUGCACGCGCGCUACACUGAUGUGUCCAGUAAGCACCUAACCUCUUCCGAAAGGAACGGGUAACCUUUGCAAAGCACAUCGUGAUGGGGAUAGAUUAUUGCAAUUAUUAGUCUUGAACGAGGAAUUCCUAGUAAGCACCAGUCAUCAGCUUGUGUUGAUUACGUCCCUGCCCUUUGUACACACCGCCCGUCGCUCCUACCGAUUGAAUGUUCCGGUGAGCUCUUCGGACUGCGCGGUCUGCAGUUUCUGCGUUCCGUGCGGAAAGUUGCGCAAACCUUAACAUUUAGAGGAAGGAGAAGUCGUAACA
rnacentral:rRNA from 1 species